CUGAAGUCAAGCUGCUAGGUCAGUUACACAGGGAGCCACACUGAAGACAAGCUGCUAGGUCAGUUACACAGGGAGCCACACUGAAGACAAGCUGCUAGGUCAGUUACACAGGGAGCCACACUGAAGACAAGCUGCUAGGUCAGUUACACAGUGAGCCACACUGAAGACAAGCUGCUAGGUCAGUUACACAGGGAGCCACACUGAAGACAAGCUGCUAGGUCAGUUACACAGGGAGCCACACUGAAGACAAGCUGCUAGGUCAGUUACACAGUGAGCCACACUGAAGACAAGCUGCUAGGUCAGUUACACAGUGAGCCACACUGAAGACAAGCUGCUAGGUCAGUUACACAGUGAGCCACACUGAAGACAAGCUGCUAGGU